ACUCCUACGGGAGGCAGCAGUGAGGAAUAUUGGUCAAUGGGCGCAAGCCUGAACCAGCCAUGCCGCGUGCAGGAUGACGGUCCUAUGGAUUGUAAACUGCUUUUGUACGGGAAGAAACACUCCGACGUGUCGGAGCUUGACGGUACCGUAAGAAUAAGGAUCGGCUAACUCCGUGCCAGCAGCCGCGGUAAU
rnacentral:rRNA from 1 species